rnacentral:rRNA from 1 species
CGACGUGGAUAACCUGCCUCACACAGGGGGAUAACAGUUAGAAAUGACUGCUAAUACCGCAUAAGCGCACGGCAUCGCAUGAUGCAGUGUGAAAAGCUCCGGUGGUGUGAGAUGGAUCCGCGUCUGAUUAGGUAGUUGGUGGGGUAACGGCCCACCAAGCCGACGAUCAGUAGCCGACCUGAGAGGGUGACCGGCCACAUUGGGACUGAGACACGGCCCAA